rnacentral:piRNA from 1 species
UCUUGCUUGUAGGUGGUCACUUUUUAAAACC